UACGAAGGGGGCUAGCGUUGCUCGGAAUCACUGGGCGUAAAGGGUGCGUAGGCGGGUCUUUAAGUCAGGGGUGAAAUCCUGGAGCUCAACUCCAGAACUGCCUUUGAUACUGAAGAUCUUGAGUUCGGGAGAGGUGAGUGGAACUGCGAGUGUAGAGGUGAAAUUCGUAGAUAUCGGGAGGAACAUCAGUGGCGGAAGGCGGCCUUCUGGUCCAGUACUGACACUCAAGUGC
rnacentral:rRNA from 1 species